rnacentral:rRNA from 1 species
UACGAAGGGGGCUAGCGUUGCUCGGAAUUACUGGGCGUAAAGGACGCGUAGGCGGAUAGUUUAGUCAGAGGUGAAAGCCCAGGGCUCAACCUUGGAAUUGCCUUUGAUACUGGCUAUCUUGAGUUCGGGAGAGGUGAGUGGAAUGCCGAGUGUAGAGGUGAAAUUCGUAGAUAUUCGGCGGAACACCAGUGGCGAAGGCGACUCACUGGCCCGAUACUGACGCUGAGGCGCGAAAGCGUGGGGAGCAAACAGG